rnacentral:lncRNA from 1 species
AUGUUUUGAAGUGAUGAAGAUGAAAAACCAGAGGAGAAAAGAAAGGGAUGAUUUCUUGGGGUAAUGUAAAUGGCAGCUAGAUGUAAGGAUCAUUUAUGAAUAUGAUCAUUUCGUGUAACAAAGCAAAAGACCAAAAUACCCUCGUGUGAGGGUCACGUGAUUUAGAUAAACGGAAACAAUUAAACGGAGUAUGUCAUAAGGACUAUUCGUGCAACAAUUUGGAACCAUAGGGACCAUACUCGUCCAAAAUUCCUCAUAAGGACUAUCUUUGGUCUCUUGUGCCAACCACAGGGACCAUCUGUGUAAUUUUGUCUUUUUUUAAAGAUAGUUCAUAAUUUUUCUAUUAUAUACAUUGUAAAUGAAAUUGAGAACUUAAGUAGGUCCUAGGACCUACCUAAGCACAUGGUGGAUACGCCCCUGUUACCCACACUAACCUCAUACACUUACAACACAAAUGAACUUGAACGGUCUAAGACCAAACCAAGAUAUAAUAUGAAAUGUGUAAGUAUAGUUUAAUAGAUGAAAGUGAGGUGUUGUUUGGGCUUGAAAAGUAGGGGUGAGCAUGGUGCGAUUUUUUGAGAAAACCGAACCGCAAACCGCAAGAUGCGGUUUCUAUAGGGUAAAACCGAUAGGUGUGGUUUUUGUUUCGGCGUGGUUUUACAUGCAUUUUCGGUGUCAUUCGAUGCGGUUUCGGUUUUUAACUGAAAAUAUGUGUUGGUGUGAUUUUUCAUACAUGUGUUGAUCUACCAAAGAAGUAAUAACCCCUAAAGAAGCUAGAGCAAGGCCUAAUUGAAAAUGAAGCCAAUUAUUAAUUGUGUCAUAAAGACCCUCAUGCCCACGUCUCAAUCGCCCUCUUGGAGGGAUAUGUGCAUCUAAAAGAUCUUUCAUACUGUGCCCAAUCCCAAAAUUAGUUCUAUACAUAUGCCCAACAAUAAGAAAAAGAAAUGCAAUAGCUAAAUAAUGAUGAGUCAUAUCAGCAUGUCCAAACCCGACUUUUCAGUUAACUUUCCUUUAUUUCCGGUACAGAUUCUCAUUUAAAUGUAUUUAACAUGCUUGUGAAAUAGUUAUAUGUUAUUCUUAUCAAAAUAUAGACUUCUUUAUGAUAUUACGAUUUUGAGAUUUGAAUUAUAUGUUUGAUGCAACAAGGGAUUUGGUUUUAUAAUCUCAAAUUCCAUUACUUAAUCAUUAUUGUUUAUACAGAUAGAGGCGGCUUUUGAUUCGAAUUGCAUUUUGCUUGUGAUAAGCAAAAGGAAAAUUGUUAAUGGUACGCACUUUGAUACAAAUGUCAAAUUUUAUAAAAAUAUAGCAAAACAUAAGGCAUGCACAGUGGCAAAAAGAACUGAAGAGGUCGAAGUUGAACAAAAUAUACUUUUAUUAAUAAGUAUUAUAAUAUAUUAAAUAUUGUCAGGUUUUUAUGGUGCUGUUUGGCAUUGUCCAAACCGCACCACACCGAAAAAUUACCAAUUAAGGUUGGAUUGGAAUGCAUAAUUAUCAAUUUAUCCUUAAUAAGUCAUAAAUCAACAAAAAUGGCCCAACAAUUUUCUUAAUCUUAAUUGUUGCCUUUGGAUUAGAAAUCAUCAACGAUCAAGAUUGGUUCUCACAAUUCUCUAAUCUCUACUUUUAUGUUGUUUUCAUUUGAACUCAACCCAAAAAUCUCACCAGUAAUCACCACACGAACAAAUCCCGUUCUUGAAAUGAUGAAACCUAUUUGUAUCCCGAAGAAUAAUUUCCCGCUCAACAAUCUUGGAAAUAAGCUUAGCAGCAAUAUGACAAUCCUCACAAACACGUAGAUUUUUAGUAAUCCGUAUAGGCGUAAAAGCUUUAGUAUUUAUAAUCACAAACACAAUAGCAAGCUUCUCACUAUGAACAGCAAGAUGAUUUCCUUUAUCUUCAUCUUCUAUAUCAUGAAGUGCAGAAUCCACUUCAGGAACAUACCCAAAAUCCCUCAUCUUCCCCACAAGUACUUCCAACUCUUGAUAAAUCUGUUUAGAUUGUGGAUGGGAUUGAUCUCCAGCAAGAAACGAAUGAACUUGAUUAUUAAGCUCAACAUUACUAACACCGGGCUCUUUUUUCACUCCUUUUGAUUUCAUUAUUGAACGAAUAUUUGUCACAUCUUUAAAUCUACCUGCUUUUGCGUAUAUAUUUGAUAAUAAAACAUAAUACCCUGCUUGUUCAGGGACCAAUUCAAAGAGAUGAUCUGCUGCUACAAGACCAAUUUCCAUGUUGGAAUGAACUUUACAAGCACUUAACAAAGCACCCCAGAUUCUAUCGUUUGGUUUUGUUUUCAUUUUCUUUAUAAAAUCAUAAGCUUCAUUGAUUCUUCCUGAUCUUCCUAGCAAAUCAACCAUGCACGCCAAGUGUUCGAGUCUUGGAAUGAUGUUAUACUCUUCGGUCAUCAAUUUGAAGAAAUGUUUUCCUUGGUUUAGUAAUCCGGCAUGGCUGCAGGCUGAUAGAACUGGAACGAAGGAAAUGGAAUCAGGGGCGAUUCCGGAAUUUUGCAUAUUUGAAAAGACUGUGAUAGCAGUUUCACCAUCUCCAGUCAUGCCAUAAGCAGAGACCAUGGAAGUCCAGGAGACGACAUCUCUUGUUGGCAUUUCAUCGAACACCUUGCGUGCUUCGUUUAAAGACCCACAUUUAGCAUACAUGUCAAUCAAGGCGUUCUCUACUGUUAGAUUAGGAAGAAGCCUUUUUGUUUUUACAUAUGAAUGAAUCUUUCUUCCUAGUAAUAAAGCUGAAAGAUCUCCACAAGCGGGUAGGAUGCUAGCAACUGUGAUUGAAUCCGGGUCGAUUCCGUAAUUCUCCAUUUGUUGAUAAAGAUUAACUGCAUCUUUAGGCAUCGAGUUGUUGACGUACACAGCUAUCAUGACAUUCCAAGAAAUUAAACUCUCUCGAGCGUGAUUCAUGAACAUUUCUUUCAUAAACAUCACGUUGGUAGAUGAAGUAGAAGUUGUUAAAGCAGGGGAAAGGCUGGCCAUGGUGCCUGCGUUGGGUUUUGAGGUAGAACAUUGCAUCAUUGUCUUACAAAUCUCCAAUGCAUCUUCAAACAUCCGGUUUUGGGCGUAGGCAGCAACCAUAGCAUUCCAGGAGACGAUAUCUCUACUAGGCAUUUCAUCAAACACCUGGCGUCCUUCCAGUAACCGGUUACAUUUUCCAUACAUUGUAAUCAAUCCAUUCCCUACAUAAAGAUUUGAAUGCAGACCCUUCUUGAGAACAGCAACAUGGGUUUGUAAUCCGACCCACAAAUUCUCAGACACGGAACAUGCUUUUAGAACUUGAGGAACUGUAAAAUGAUCAGGGUUAAUGUUGAACUUGAACAUGUUUCUGUACAUACGAAGUGCUUUUUCGUAGAAUUCAUUGUUUACGUAGCUUCUAAUCAUCACAUUGAAGAAGACUACAUCUUUUUGAGGAAAUUCAUCAAACAGUUGGCGGGUAACUGCGAUUUGGCGACAUUCAGAAUAAGCUUUCAUUAAUUUCAGAGCAAUAUGCGAUGCUGAGACGAGGUUUCCAUCAAUAAUUAACCUACAAUGUAUCUUUUUCAAUUGUUUGAUAUCUGGGCACUUGUCCAAGAUUUUGAUACACAAGUCUUCUGUGAUUAACAUGAUUGUUAAGGCGAGAUUUGAAUGAAUUUGAACUUAUAUUCCUUUCGCCAUGUUGUACCUGAGGGGCAAUCAAAUAGAAUGGACGAAGAUAACGAAGGUUUACUUGGUGGUGUUCACUUAAAAACAAGAAAUAUGAAGUUCUAAACGCUAUUUCUUGUUAAACAGAAAAUAUUUUGUCCAAUCUAAAAAUCCAAUUUUUGAGUAAGUUCAAGCUUAAGCUCAAAAAUAGUAAGCAAAACAUGUUUAAAAAAUAAAAGUUCGUUUGAAACUCUUUGGAUAGCUCGAGUAUAACAAUCAUCAUAAUUAUAGUCAAUAAAUCAGGCUCAAACAACCAAACUUGAUGUCCAGCCCUUGAUCAUCCAAUUGCCAACUGAAAUCAACUUAGUUUCCGGUUUUAGAAUCGCCCUAACAUUACAUAAGCACCAACUAGUUCCAAAAGUAGUUUUUAAUUCAAUGUCUCCCAUACCCGUGACUUCAAGGGUUUCCAUGUUACCCAACCUUACCAACUUAAGAUAAGUUCUUUACUUCAAUUACUAUAACAGAUCGAUGAGUCAUGUUCUAAUGACCUCUCGUCAUAUGAUGCAAUGCUUAGACUCGAGUCUUUUAAAGUCAAAUUCUAUAAUGAAAUAUACAUUCCUUCAAGUUUCUAAUGUGAUAUAAUCACAUUCUAGCAUGUAUCACUUCUAGCUACAAGCUUCUUACUUUAACAACAAUCACAAUACUUCUAUUGAUCGCUUUGAUUAUCUUUCAGUUCAAUCUUCUGGCUUAAGUCAGAUGCUACAUCGAUCUUGGUUCUCUGAACCACGUACAAUACUUAUCCUAGCUGUAAUCGAUUUGAUAUGACCACUAGGGUCGGAAUAACAAUCAUCUUCUUAGUCAUUACCGAAAUUAUGGUAAUGACACAUGAACAAAACAGAAUCAAUUACUAGCGUCUUGGUAACUCGUGACUUUCCCUGAUCCAAGUGCGAGUCGUGUGCUUCCAGUAGUAUAUGCCUCUACUACCUUUCACACCUACUCAUACUUGUCCCAAGUAUUGUCUUUCAGUUCUCCAAGUCACCAUAAAAGAAUUUCACAUAGUCAUUUAACACAUCGAAUAACAAAACUAAGGUUUAUAUUAUUUCUUGAAACGAUUACAUAGAUAUUCAAGUUCACCUUAUACCAUGCCUUUUAUAUUAGGCUACACCACAUGAUACUAUCUAUAUGGCUACUUUAUAUCUCGAUCUUCAGAUAUAUAUAGAUCCCUACUCCUAAUCCCUUGUAUCGUCACCUGCUUCAUCCAGGUUAGACUUCGAGAAUCUUCCUUUCUUAUCGAAUCUUGAGGAUCCCUCAAGCUUCUUCUUUUCUCAUGCCUUGUCUUAUUCCAGACCCUUUUUCCUAAAUUAGGUUUCCAUAUUCUUGGUUGCUCUAACGGUUGUCUUCAAAGUAGUUGCCAUUUUUACCAUUGCGCCAAAUUAUGCUGGCAAUCCGUUAGCAAAACUAUCUAUCUUGGAGAGUUCAGUAGCACCAAGUAGGGGAAUAACUUCAUCUGCUCGGUGAAUACGGUGACAUACUCAUCAACACUCAUCUUCCUUUUCUUCAAGUUCGAAACUCGUUGUUUAGGUCUAUCAGAUCUAUCUCUGAGCAGUAUUGCAUUUUCAACUGCUCCAUGAAUGCUUCCCACCUCAGGGCUUCUCCCCCAUGGCUUUGUAUCUGCCAAUAACUUCCACCAACUUAAAACUCUGGUCUUUAGUUGUCUGACUGUAAAGACGGUUUUCUGCUUGUUGCUGCAAUUGCAACUUUCAAAUGUCAUCUCUAUCUCGGAGAUCCAAUCCAUGAUCUCUACUGGCUUCGGGCUUCCAGAAAGACUUGGUGGUUUGGCACCUAAGAAGUUCUUAUACAUACGUUCAUCCUUAUCAAUCGCUUUUUUCGGGUCGUUCCUCCUUGCCACUCGGGGUUCAGCUUGACUCACUGUACGACUGUAAUUUCCCUCCUCCGACAAUUCUUCAUUCAGUUCGGGUUGCACGAUAGGCACAAUAGGUUCAUCCCUAUUAUCAAGAAACAUUUUUCUCAUCUCCUCCCUUUGUUCGGCCAUCAUAGCCCAAAUCAUUGCUUAGACUCUUGCCAUCGUGAUUGGCUCGGGUGCAGCUACUACCUCUGGUGCACAUUUAAUCACUCGUGGUUCAGGCUGUUAGUUUUCAUUAGCAUUUUCUAAUAUGUUGCGAGUUCUCACCAUUUCGAUCUAUACACUCUAGAGAUGUUCAGUGUACAGUGACGAGAAUUAAGAUAUGGAAAGCUUUAUUUACGACAGCCAUAUAAAUCUUCUUAUCACUCGUAAAAGUUAUAUACUAGUUCUAAUACCGUAAUUAAAUGUUUGGAAAUUUUGAGCAAAUGACGGUUCAUCAACAAUAGAGCGAAUCUCAUUUAGGAAUUCGUUGAUAGGUCGAUUUCCUUUAGGAUUUUUAGCAAGUUUGGAUUUUAAAGAGAUGAUUCUUGAGCAGGAGGUGCUGGCAUAGCUUGUGUUGAGAUGCUUUCAUGCUUCUUUUGUGGUAAAUACAGAGGUAAUGAUAGGUUGAAUGAAUUGCAUCUGAGCAUGAACCAAGAAUUGCAUCGAAUACUACAUGAUCUUGGCGAUAGCAAGUCGUGUAUUCAUGAUUAGGUUUGGAUUUGUCUUUGUCGAUAAUGAAUUUUGUGGUAGGAUCAGUCACCCAUGUGAUGUAAUCUUCCAGACCUAGUCCAAUAAAUGUGGACUGCACUUGUCGCCUCCAUACAUGGAAGUUGUUGGUGAGUAAUUUGGUAGGAAAGUGACUUGAGGCGGUGAUUUGUAUUUGGGAUGAUUGUGUCAUGGUGAUGUUGAUGAAAAGGAUUAGAGGAGAAAGGCAAGAUGAUCGAUUGACUCUUUAGAGUGUGUGUGCUCUGAUACGAUAUGAGAUUUGAGAAUCAAUGGGCUCGAAUGAAUAAUUUCAUUUACAAAGAUCGAUACAUAUAUAGAUGGUAACGAGAGUUAAAGAGCUAUACAUGGAAUUUACUAAGAAUAGAUUGCAAUUACAUACAAAUAGAAGAGAUUAUUGUAGAUUAGUCAUGAAGAUGUGUACGAUGUUAUAGUUAGAUUGCUUAUUUGCAAUCCAUGUUAGCUAAGUAUGUCAUGUUGAAUACAAAUUGUAUUAAAACAUUAAAGUUCCAACCAUUAUAUGUUGAAGAAGAAGCAAAUACGCCUUAGUCACACCCAUUCUAAAUGAUAUGGAUGUUAUGGUUGUCGUUUCUAUGCAACCAAAUCGUGAUUCCAAGUUGCAGUUGUCUUACCAAUAUAUCAUGUUAGGAAAAGAUGACAUAGCAUGAAAUAUUGUAUGUUACAACAAAAAGAUAUAUCUUAUAGAUGUCUUGCACAUGGGUUAUUCCUUUUUAAGCACUUAUAUAAAAAUAAUAUCACGUAUGUAUGAUAUCUAUUUUGAGAGAUUUUUAGCAAGCAACUCUUUGUCUAUUAUUGUUAUUGGAUAGAAAAAGUAUCAUCUUCGUUGGGAAGAUUUUACUAGGAUUAGAUUCAUAAUAGUUUGUCAAAGAUUUUACUAUUAUGUAUUUAUAAACCCAUGAAGUUUUCUAUUAAAUAAAUAAAUAAAUAACCAUUCACCAUUUAUAUCUUUUUGGAAUAGAGUUUGUUAAAUUCUAAUAUAAAUAAAAAGAGUAUUUAUUUAGAUUCACACAUUACAAAAUUACAAACUCCAAGCAUAAAUCCGAAACUUAUUUUUAAACUUCUUCAUUUAUAUUACAAGUUUUAUUCUUUUUUCCCAACCCACUUGGGGUUUCGAAACCCUAAAAAAGUUCUAUCCAUGGAAGUUCAUAUUUAUUUCUUAUCUUAAUGAAUUUAAGGUCUAAAUCAAUAAAUGGCAAUGUAGAAUUAACCGCAUAUAUUAAGUUAUUUUUGGAAGCUUUCCAACACAACACAGAAAGGAAAUGAUGAGAAUUUAUGGUACCAAAUAACAAAAUAAUCCCGGUUCCUAUAAAAAUUUAUUAAAGCUCUACUCAUGAUUUCAUAAUCUCCUCUAAUAUGAGGGUUACGUUAUUGUAAUAAUAACUAUGAUAAUGUAAAAGCCAUAACAUAAAUCGUCUUAAUUUAAGAAAUAAUAUAAAUCCCAAGAUAUUGUUUUUAAAAUAAAAAGGAAAAAAGUGGGAGUCCAUUAGAAGGAGCCAAGCUGAUUAUUUGAGCCAAGAGAGCACCGAUUUGUUAUCCUUCCACUGUUCGAAGCGAGAGGUUAUCGCAGCUCUGUGAAGCCAGCCUAACGCAUUGCCCUCUGCUCUAGGAACCAAGAAGCCCAAGCCUUCGCUCAAGCCACUUGAUCCAACUCCGAACUUGGAACGGGCAAACCAGAUUUUGCAACAGCUUUGACCCAACCAAACAAGGCUCGAUCUCAGUCCAUCCCACUUUAGAGCCCUCACUUGAGUCACAAGCUCGCGUUACCAAGCUCGGCGAUAAACGAAGUCCAUUUGAUGUAUAAAUAAUCGGAAAAACUUUCUCCUCCAAGCGAUGUGGGAUGCGAAACGAAAUAUUUUCAUCUUCAUUCUCUCUUUAUCUCUGUCAAAUACUGUGAUUACUGAUUACUGACUACUUAAACACCCAUGCAACGGAUUUCAAGUAUUUUUUUCAAUCCAUGGAUUUAGAACUGUAAACU